ensembl:lncRNA
UUCCUCAACUUUUGCAUUUCAUGCACUGGUAUUUCCUUCAGGAAAUGCAUUUUCUAGUUACAGUGCAUGAAAUGCCCUGUAUUGUUAUUCCUUCGUUUCUUAUUCUUCAUCUUAUUACAGUGCAUGAAAUGCCCUGUAUUGUUAUUCCUAGGCUUCUUAUUACAGUGCAUGAAAUGCCCUGUAUUGUUAUUCCUAGGCUUCUUAUUACAGUGCAUGAAAUGCCCUGUAUUGUUAUUCCUAGGCUUCUUAUUACAGUGCAUGAAAUGCCCUGUAUUGAUAUUCCUAGGCUUCUUAUUCUUCUUCUUCUUCUUCUUAUUACAGUGCAUGAAAUGCCCUGUAUUGUUAUUCCUAGGCUUCUUAUUCUUCUUCUUCUUAUUAUUCUCUUUACCGACUUCUGCGCUUAAUUCAGCUCGAACCGCUUAACUUAAAAACUUCGUUCAAACUUUGGCGCGUAGGUCUUGUAAAGGACACUUAUGCUAUGUAUUUUUCAUUUUUCUAAACUUUAUACUUUUUAAAAUAUUAAAUAAAAACUAAUACAAUUUCUCCCAUUGACUUACAUUGGGCCAUUAUGACAUCAUAAUAGGGUCUUUAAACUGGCUUGCACCUGUGCUUCACUGACACCUGCGCCAAGGUUCCAAGGCUCCUCUUCUCUCUGUCCCUCUCCAUUCAACUGUAUAACUAGGAAUAUUAAGAGACACCUUCCAUACUCUCCUUUUUUUUCUCUCCAUCUUUCUCUCUAUCCCUUUCCUUCUUCCACUCUUCUUUCCUUCUUCCACACUUCUUUCCUUUCUUCUUUCCUUUCUUCCACUCUUCUUUCCUUCUUCCACUUCUUUCCUUCUUCCACUCUUCUUUCCUUUCUUCACUCUUCUUUCCUUCUUCCACUCUUCUUCCACUCUUCUUUACUUCUUCCACUCUUCUUUCCUUCUUCCACUCUUCUUUCCUUCUUUCAUACUUCUUUCUUUUCUUCUUUCCUUCUUCCACUCUUCUUUCCUUCUUUCACUCUUCUUUCCUUCUUUCAUUUUUCUUUUUUUCUUCUUUCCUUCUUCCACUCUUCUUUCCUUUCUUCACUCUUCUUUCUUUCUUCUUUCCUUCUUCUUUCCUUAUUCCACUUCUUUCCUUUCUUCUUUCCUUCUUUCACUCUUCUUUCUUUUCUUCUUUCCUUCUUCCACUCCUUUCCUUUCUUCACUCUUCUUUCCUUUCUUCUUUCCUUUUUCCACUCUUCUUUCCUUCUUUUACUCUUCUUUCCUUCUUUCACUCUUCUUUCUUUUCUUCUUUCCUUCUUCCACUCCUUUCCUUUCUUCACUCUUCUUUCCUUUCUUCUUUCCUUCUUCCACUCUUCUUUCCUUCUUUCUCUCUUCUUUCUUUUCUUCUUUCCUUCUUCCACUCUUCUUCCACUCUUCUUUCCUUCUUUCACUCUUCUUUCCUUCUUUCCUUCUUUCACUUUUCUUUUUUUUUCUUCUUUCCUUCUUCCACUCUUCUUUUCUUUCUUCACUCUCCUUUCCUUUCUUCUUUCCUUCUUAUACUUUUCUUUUUUUUCCUCCUUCCUUUCUUCACUCUUCUUUCUUUUCUUCUUUCCUUCUUCCCUUCUUCGACUCUUCUUUCCUUUCUUCUUUCCUUUCUUUACUCUUCUUUCCUUUCUUAUUACAGUGCAUGAAAUGCCCUGUAUUGUUAUUCCUUCGUUUCUUAUUCUUCUUAUUAUUAUUCUUUGUACCAAACUUCUGCGCUUUAUUCAGCUUGAACCGCUUAACUUAGAAACUUUGUUCAAACUUUGCUGCGUAGGUCUUGUAAAGGACACUUAUGCUAUGUAUUUUUCAUUUUUCUAAACUUUAUACUUUUUAAAAUAUUAAAUAAAAACUAAUACAAUUUCUCCCAUUGACUUACAUUGGGCCAUUAUGACAUCAUAAUAGGGUCAUUAAACUGGCUUGCACCUGUGCUUCACUGACACCUGCGCCAAGGUUCCAAGGCUCCUCUUCUCUCUGUCCCUCUCCAUUCAACUGUAUAACUAGGAAUAUUAUUAUUUCCUUCUUCCACUCUUCUUUCCUUCUUCCACUCUCCUUUCCUUUCUUCUUUCCUUCUUCUACUCUUCUUUUCUUUCUUCUUUCCUUCUUUCACUCUUC